rnacentral:lncRNA from 1 species
CUGAUCAUGUCUGACUUGAUUUGAGAUCGUCAGUGAUCGAUCGGUUUGUUGUUUUUUUUUCUUUUCUCUGAAUCAGCUUGUAGAGGAUUGAUCAGGCAUUAUCAUCAAUCGCUCCUAACCAGUCUGAAGCCCUGCUGACGAUCAGAGACUCAGUGAUGAUGAUUCCUCCUGAUAAUUGCAUCGAGAAAGCGAGCACUUGCAUAACAACUCCUGUAGAUGAGGCGGCUCUCUGUGCAGGUGUCGACAGCGCUGCUUUGAAUCAAAUCUUGAACAGAACGCCUCAAAAUGCAACAGGACUUUGUAACUUCACUGUGUUGCAGUUUGCCUGUCAACCAGUGCUGUCGCAGUUAAGCUCUCAACAAGUGGCUGACCUUUUGGCUUGCAAACUGUCCAGCAAUGUGACAAAAGACACCUGGAAGCUUUUCUUCACCAAAAUAGGCACAAAUCUUGAUGAUGCACUGCUGAAAAUUUUCAACAACACUCCCAGUGCCAGCAAUGCGUCUUUGUCCAAUGUGCUGGAUGUGAUUGCUGAUGUCCGGAUCAAUCGCCUUAGUCCUCAGAGACUGAGAGAUCCUGCCUUUAUUCAGUCAUGGUUCCAGGGGCGACUAAAUCCCUUCUUACCAUCACUAUCUCAAAGUCUCCUGUCCUGCCUCAGCACUAAAAACCUCACCUGUGAAACAUACCGCACUAUCACUACGACGUUUGUGAAUGCACCUCUUCGAGAUGGACAAGACAUUUGCAAUCCACUGCAACCCACUCAAAGACAGGAUCUGAUCUACACAAACUUCAUGAAAGCCUUCCUCUCUCGCAGUGACAUUAAUGAUCUCGGCUGCCUUAAUAACACAGCCAACAGUACGCAGUGGGUCAACAGAAACUUUGGGCCAUUCGUUCAGUCAGCUACCCUAAAGGACCUUGAGGCACUGAACAGAAACUUCAGUGCGAUGGAGGUUCUACCUCAACUGAGUCUAAGACAACUAUUUGAGCUUUCUGUCAGUACUCGGGUAGUAAAUGAUCCACAAAGCAUCAUCAGUGUCAUGCAGCAAGUGAAGGAUUGCCAGCUUCCUGUUUUCUUUGACCUCUUUUCCCCGAAUGUGCAGAACAUCUCUCUCACCCAAGAUGUAAAAGCAGCACUGAUUAAACAGAUAUUUGAAAGAGCCAACCUGUCUAAUCUAAACAUCACAAAUCAGGAAGUUGACGUUUGGAUCCAGAAGAGAUUAAAUCCUCUGUUAACCAACCUUUCAGAAAGCCUUGUGUCUCCAUUUUUCACCAUCCUCAACAAAAGGGACUGCAAUAUCACUCAAUCCACACUGGGGCUCUUAGAUGCUGUUCGACCUUCAUUACCCAAUAACACAAAAAAUGCAAUCUACAAUAGCAUUCUUCAAUCCUUCAUAGGGCCACAGCCUCUGAGGUGCUACAGAAACAACAGCUUUAUCAAGUUCUUAAACGAAAGCCUGUAUGGCUUCGGGCCGCUUCCAAAUCUGAACAUCUUCCUCUCUCUGAUACCACCAACACGGAGAUCUGAGCUUGUAAACUCCAUAGCUCCUUCUGAGCUGGGAAGCUACUUGAGACAGCCGGAAGUGGUGAACAACGGUUCCCAAAUCUGUGUGAUCUUUAACAACUUUACCAGAACGCCUGAGUUCUUGGAUACGGAAGAGGUUCCAGAUGAUGUUAAAAGCACCAUCCUUCCCUGUGUCUGGCCUCUGGCGUUGACAAGUGACAAUGAGACAGAGAUUGAUCUGUGGUUUAACCGUAGACUGAAGCUGUACUUGAAGUUCCUGAACAAAGAUACAAUUAGAUCAAAAGACACACUGAGCGCAUCAUGCCAAUCAUACAAGAAAAUGGUCAGUGUCUUAGGCAGCAAUUUCACCUUUAAUGGUUCUCAGAUUACCACUGAGGAUGUGUACGCCACCAUCAAGACAUAUCUGACAGCAGGUCAAUUAGUCUUCUUUUUCUUCAUAAGGAUGCUUGUUCUUUGCUUAAGAAUGCAAUAA